rnacentral:rRNA from 1 species
GAUCUUGGCUCAGAUUGAACGCUGGCGGCAUGCUUUACACAUGCAAGUCGAACGGCAGCACAGGGAGCUUGCUCCCGGGUGGCGAGUGGCGCACGGGUGAGUAAUACAUCGGAACGUGUCCUGUUGUGGGGGAUAACUGCUCGAAAGGGUGGCUAAUACCGCAUGAGACCUGAGGGUGAAAGCGGGGGAUCGCAAGACCUCGCGCAAUUGGAGCGGCCGAUGCCCGAUUAG